AGAGGCCUUUAGAAGAACAGAGCGACAGUUGAAAUCUGAGGCAGGAAGUGGGGAAAAGCAGCAACAGUGGUUUAGCGCCCAGAGCCGCACGGAAGACCCUGCCCUUGCCUGGACGUGGCCUGGGCGGCUCUGAGCCGUCUGCAGAUGCUCCGAAGAGGAAAACGUCCCAGGGACUGGCUGUGGGGAGCACUUGCUUCUUGGGAGACACAUCCUAGUCCUGGAAUAAGUCAGAGAGAAGUUCCUCCUGAGAGUCUGCGUCAGGGAAGAAGUCCCCCUUACCUCCAAGGACUGCGCCCCGAGCUGGAGGGGAGCACGUGAGGAGGCGGAGUUGGCGGCACAGACGCACGAGGUGCAGAGCGAUUCUCAGUGAUCACAGCUGCUGUUCCGGGGAGUGGCGCGCGGACAGCAGCACACGGCGCUAAACACUGGAUCUGCUUCUGCAGGAAAUCCUGAGGUCAGGCUCCUCUUUUUCACACGUGUGUGGGCAGCUGGCCUUCCCUGCUCCUGGGUGUCGUUUUGUAAAAUGGGCCAAGGCCAGAGGGCCUAGUGCCAGCCCUCCCCACUAUCAGCACCAUCACUCACAUCUUCACGACCAUCACCAUCACCUCAGCACCAGUGCCUCCGGCUCUCGGGCAGGGACCAAGCAUCUCAGUAGUCGGACAUGUGAGGGAGUCUGGCCUGAGCUUGUGGUGCUGUGGCACAGAGCUGCGCAAGCUAUACAGAGAGACCCAGCAGGGCAUCAGUGUCUUCCUGAAAAUUACUGUUUAAAUGUAACAUUUUAACGUUUUCUGAAAGAGCGAUUGAACCAAGCAGAGGAAUAAGAAGAAAGAUGCUGCCCCAGGGAGAGAGAAAGGCCAGUCAGACCAGUAGAGGAUCUGCCUCCUGCCACUGGGGCGGUGGCUGAGCCACCGAGGAGCUGACCGACGCCAGGUCUGCCCAGGUCUUCUCUAAAGGUGGGUAGAGGAAGAGCAAAUGGCACGAGACCUAAAAGAAAGUGUGUGUGUGUGCGCGCGCGUGUGCUGCGGGGCGGGGUGGGGACGGAGAGGCGCCGUGGGAGGCGGAGGAAGGUCCGCUCCAGAGUUAUUUCCAGGGGGACGCAGACUCUUGGCCGCACCCCAGCGUUCACGCUCAGUUGAUGACCCCCAGACACAGCUCCCACGAAAGAGGAGCGCAGGGUCGCUGGGGGAGAGGGAGCAAGGAGAAAGUGCGGAACACACGAGGGAAGUGACAGCGAGGAGUGGCAGCACCGCUUCCGGCAGCAGGUCUGAAUUGGAAAAUCAACCGCUGCGUAACGGGACCAAGAAGUGCGUCUAGGCUCACGCAGACGAAAUGAAAAUGGAGGAGUUAAAGUCUGCAGCUGUAAACAGUGUAAUUGCAGAAUAAGGAAGCCCGUCACUUGGUCACAAGCUUGAGAAUGCGGAGGAGAAGGGGAGGAGACCCCGCGUGGGGGCAGCAAGCCGGCUGCAGUGACGGGGAGCAGCGCACAGACAGACGCCGGCCAAGGGGCGUCCCGGACCCAGAGCAGGCGCAAAGAGGACAUCUCAGGGGUCCAGUUCACAGUGCUCGUCUGGGUCAUAGAAACCAACGAUAGUGAAGGAAGAGCUUGUGCAGAGACUCAGGUGGUUGGCAUGGGGUGGAGAGGGCAGACGUCUGCGGGCGGAGUACCGCCCUCGUCCACACGAACACGUAAGACACUAAAUUCCGUGCGGUGAAGGAGAAGCCAGGCCAAGGUUUAGAUCCGAGGAUUUUAUACCAUGUGAAGCUGGUGGAGAGAAUCCGUGUAUGCGAGACAUCUGAAGAUACACCAGCCAGAUGCUCCUUCACGGGGCGGGGAGGUGCUCAGGACACACACACUGAGCAGUUGGAGGGAAGAGCCGGGGGCGCAGUGGGAAGGACGGAGCCCGGCUGCUGGGAUCCAGCCGCUGGCCCCCGGCUGAGCGAGGAGACGGCCGUUCACCAGCUGCAGAGGUCCAUCUUGCUCCAUGUUGAUAAGCUCCUUCCACUCUUUUUCUGUGACCAAGUUCAGCCUGAAGAGCAAGCCUUGCCCACACAGUAAGCCAGGGUGCAUUUUUCAGUCUCGUCUCCAAAGAGUGCAGUUUAUUUAAGUUGUUAGUAACGUGUGACUUUGUUUAAAGGAAAAAUGUCAAAUGCAGUUACAGUAGCACCAGAGCGGACCUAUUUGAAAGCUGAUGUGAGACUGAUCUAUAGGUAUCUUAGCAAGACAUUUAGAAAAAAUAUAAACAAUUCUGAAGCUACAUUAACAAGCUGAAAAAUAAACUAAUUUUGGCCCAAAUUUCUAACCCAGGGGCUUACCUCAGCGAUGAUGACAUCUGUGGGCUGAGAGCAGGGCAGAGACAGACCCGAGGACGGUUCGGCUGCAGGGUGCACAGGAAGCUGGUGGAGGGGGCAUCUGCUCCACAGACGAGAUGCAAGGUGACCCUCGCCCCACCCCAUCUCCCUCUAGUGUGAGUCACCUCGGUGUCAGAAACUCACACGUGGGGCCUCGGUGGCAGGCAUCACUGGGCAGGAGACGGGGGGCCUGUCCCUGUAGGCUUGCACUCCGCCCUCUCUCCCCAGUCCCCUCCCUGGCUGGGCACAGGCAGGGGCGGCGGUACUGGAGUGAGUCUGACAGGGUAGGAGGCUGUAGAACUCACUGCCAAUGCAGGGACCUUAAGCUCCUCAGAAGGGCCAGCCUCGGGCCACUCACAGAACAUUCAAGGGUCUUGAGUGCCCCCAGGGCACCACUGGCCCUGGCUGAAGUCAUAGCCUGAGGGGCCUGGGGCACAAGGAGCCACCCCUCCUCUCCCUAUAGGCCCUUCCCUCCCUCUGCGCGCACCCGCCUGUGCCCACACUGCACUCCUCUCCGCUCCUCCGACCUUGGUGAUCCUGACUGCGGUGACGGGCAGCCGGGAGAGUCCACCCUCUGAGGUAGCGCCCCACACCCGUGGUCACCCACCUCGCACAGCAUCCACCUCUGACUGUUAGCACGAGAGACACUCGAAGAGACCUUUUGUCAACGUAUGAAUGUGCGAAUUGGAAUUAAGUUCCUGGAAGCAACUUUACAGAAAAAGUUUGUUCGUUUGUGAUUAAUUUCAUGUCUUGUCAUUUGCAUUUCAUUUGAUGGACUAUUAUUAAUGAAGGGCUGAUUGAGCAUUAAUGUGAUUGGAACCUGAAUUAAUGCAUUUUGAUAAUUUAUUGUUUUCAUCAAUCCAAAACAGUAGGAUCAGACGGAUGGACGUCACGUUCUUAAACCAGUGGAAUUCAAAGUGAGAAGCCCGUUUUACCCUCAGUGCACUUGAAUCUCUCAGUGAAAACUGGCUUGUCCUAGCACAAUAAUUUUUCUUGCUGGUGACAAGGAGUUGGAAGCCACACAGGAUGGAAUUCGGGCAAUAAUCCUGGGUGAGUUGAAUCAAGUUCAGUUACCAUUUCAGCACUGAAAAAUCUGCAUAGCCGCGUUGAGUCUCACAAAGUGAAGUUUAUGCAUGGACUGCUUUCAAAACCUUGUUUGGUCAAACGCACUUAAAAUUUUAAGCGAUCUCAUUUGAGCAUUUUUACACGUCAGCAGUUCAUUUAAUUCAACUGAAAAAUGCAUUCGUUUGUGUAAGGCUGUAUAUGAGAUGUCACCCUGGUGGAAAAUGGAAAAUUAAACCAUGAACACCUUUGCAACAUGAAGGCAGGUAUAGUUUCUCAAAAAUACGUUCUAGAGACCACGUCCUUCACAGCCAUGAAGGGCGGUGUUAAAACGCUUCGGUAGUAACUGCCUGAAAGCCGAGCCACCACUUGGUUUCACGGCGUGGGGGUUUGUUGACGUGAUGCCAGAUCGCAAAUUAGGCUGUUACUUCCUUUGUAUUGAGCGAUUUAAAUGGAUCAGUCGUUUGUGUCAGGCAGACACAAAGCUGUACCAGAUUAACAUCCACGAGACACGCACAGUCACGUGAGUCUGACCUGGGAACCCACACAGAGCGCAGAGAGCUGCGAGGUGUGCAGCGGAGAAUCCAAAACACAAUGAAUGCCCUUCAGAAUAGCCCACAGCCGGGCCCUAAGGGAGCUGGCCAGCAGGCACUUAAAGGUCUGUCCUUAAGCUACGGCUUCUUACCACGGCCAUGGUCAAGAUUCUUGGUAAAAAGUCAUCUGCUCAUGAUUUUUAUUUCAAGCUACAAGAACAGAAAAAUGCUGAAUGGUGGGCAGGGAUGGAAAGGUGGCACGCAGAGGAUUUCUAGUGCAGUGAGACUUCUCCAUGUGACACCACAGUGAGGGAUACGUGUCCCAACCCCCAGGAUGCACAGCGCAGGAGUGAGCCCUGACAUCAGCCAUGGGCUCUGGGCGGUGACGGUGUGUCAGCGUAGCUCCAUCCGCCGUGACAAGUGUCCCAUCUGCUGGGAGGUGGACAGUGGGGAGGGUGUGCACGUGUGGGGGCAGGAAUGGGGCAUGUGUGGGAAAUCUCCAGGUCUUCAUCUCAAUUUUGCUGUGAACCUAAAACUGCUCUAAAUUAAAAAAAAAUUAAAAUCAUUGUGAUACGGAACUAAAUCCCAGAAGAUCUCAUUUUGGAGACGGCAUGGCUGGAAGAUGCAAAGGGAAAGUGAGAGUGUUCGGUAGCUCUGCGUGGUCUCUACAUCACUAUGAAACUGUAAAUGAAGGUGUUUCUUUACUACAGAAAAAAAAGAGUCGGUGAGAACACACUAUUGGACAGAAUUACUUCAGCCAAUUGUCUUCGGAGCCGUUCAGAACCUCUUAUCAGUGUCCACCUUCCAACACAAAGCCUUUUUUCCCUCCCUCUGGAUGAUCUACGCUUUUACAAGACAGCUCUUCCUGUAAGCAUCGCUGGCCACCUCCAGCUGGUGUGGCAGGUCACACCCCACUCAUACUUGCGGAUGGGCAGGGCCAGGCUGACUCUAAAAUGCAGACCCACGCCGCACAGAUCGUCCAUCUGCAGUUAAACCGAUGUGAGCCCGGGCCCCCAGAGCACACAGGCGGUGUCGUUUCAGCCCUGUCACCGCGUGCACUUCUGACAGAAUGUCGUUCUUGAUUCUGGGGACCCUGAGUAGAGUCAGCAGAGGGAGCGUGUGAUAGACGGUUAAUAAAAUGAACUCGCCAA